CUGGGCAACGCAGAAAAAGGCUGGAGAAACAAUGGCCAUGAGACAAAAGUGGUUAGCAUGGUCGAUUCUGACAUUCCAGCUAUACGUGGCAGACGAUGUGUUUGAAUCUUUGUUAGCAGACAAUACGGAGCUAUUCAAGAAAGUUCGAGUUCAAUGCCUAAAAUACGUAACCAGCAGAAGAGAGGUUUGAAACACCACGAAAUGUCACGAAUGGGAAAGAGACUAGGGAAGUGGACAACUUUGUUCCCGACCAUCCUGGAAGGACGACUGAAUAACGGAAUACUAACAUCAUCUUGGCAAUAGGUAUGGUGCUAAUGGUAGUCCUAAUAAUGUUAUUCGGGCGUUGGCAAUCGCAUUUCCUGCUGCGUGCAGACGAUGGCGAUGAUAGUAGAGAAAACAAAUUUAGUAAUGAAGGACAAAUUGAAUUGGACACAUUAUGGAUAAUUGGAAGUCAUUACUAGCAACACAAAUUUUUAUUGAAAACACUCAGAUAUAACCUUUCACCUCCUGUUAUUUUCCUUACCUAACCCAUACAUGUAUGCCUUCCGGGCUUGCGAUGAUGUAACAGAAAAAAGUGAAAGUACCCGCCUGGGGAGGGGUAACAUAAAUAAAGUAGGGAUAGGGUAUCAAAGAUUAGGUUAUCUAGUUCUAAAAGCAAAUAAAGAAAAGCAAAAGUAA